rnacentral:rRNA from 1 species
AACGAACGCUGGCGGCAUGCCUAACACAUGCAAGUCGAACGAGACCUUCGGGUCUAGUGGCGCACGGGUGCGUAACGCGUGGGAACCUGCCCUUAGGUUCGGAAUAACUCCCCGAAAGGGGUGCUAAUACCGGAUAAUGUCUUCGGACCAAAGAUUUAUCGCCUUUGGAUGGGCCCGCGUUGGAUUAGCUAGUUAGUAGGGUAAAAGCCUACCAAGGCGACGAUCCAUAGCUGGUCUGAGAGGAUGAUCAGCCACACUGGGACUGAGACACGGCCCAGACUCCUACGGGGGGCAGCAGUGGGGAAUAUUGGACAAUGGGCGAAAGCCUGAUCCAGCAAUGCCGCGUGAGUGAUGAAGGCCUUAGGGUUGUAAAGCUCUUUUACCCGGGAUGAUAAUGACAGUACCGGGAGAAUAAGCUCCGGCUAACUCCG